AUUGAACGCUGGCGGCAGGCUUAACACAUGCAAGUCGAGCGGGGUGAUGGUGCUUGCACUAUCACUUAGCGGCGGACGGGUGAGUAAUGCUUAGGAAUCCGCCUAUUAGUGGGGGACAACAUCUCGAAAGGGAUGCUAAUACCGCAUACGUCCUACGGGAGAAAGCAGGGGAUCACUUGUGACCUUGCGCUAAUAGAUGAGCCUAAGUCGGAUUAGCUAGUUGGUGGGGUAAAGGCCUACCAAGGCGACGAUCUGUAGCGGGUCUGAGAGGAUGAUCCGGCACACUGGGACUGAGACACGGCCCAGACGCCUACGGGAGGCAGCAGUGGGGAAUAUUGGACAAUGGGGGGAACCCUGAUCCAGCCAUGCCGCGUGUGUGAAGAAGGCCUUAUGGUUGUAAAGCACUUUAAGCGAGGAGGAGGCUCUUUUGGUUAAUACCCAAGAUGAGUGGACGUUACUCGCAGAAUAAGCACCGGCUAACUCUGUGCCAGCAGCCGCCGUAA
rnacentral:rRNA from 1 species